rnacentral:rRNA from 1 species
AAUACCGCAUACGAUGGCUGGGACUUGUCCUGGUCAGGAAAGCUGGCCUCUAUUUAUAAGCUAGCGCUCCUAGAGGAGCCCGCGGCUGAUUAGCUAGUUGGUGAGGUAAUGGCUCACCAGGGCGACGAUCAGUAGCCGGCCUGAGAGGAUGAUCAGCCACACUGGGACUGAGACACGGCCCAGACUCCUACGGGAGGCAGCAGUGGGGAAUAUUGGACAAUGGGCGAAAGCCUGAUCCAGCAAUGCCGCGUGAGUGACGAAGGAUUUCGGUCUGUAAAGCUCUUUUGUGAGGGAAGAAAUGACAUGUGAGGAAAUGCUCAUGUCUUGACGGUACCUCAUGAAUAAGGGACGGCUAACUCCGUGCCAGCAGCCGCGGUAAUACGGAGGUCCCAAGCGUUGUUCGGAAUUACUGGGCGUAAAGGGAGCGCAGGCGGACAGGUAAGUCUAAAGUGGAAUCCCGGGGCUCAACCUCGGAACUGCUUCGGAUACUGCCUGUCUUGAGUUCGUGAGAGGAAAGCGGAAUUCAGGGUGUAGCGGUGAAAUGCUUAGAUAUCCUGAGGAACACCAAUGGCGAAGGCAGCUUUCUGGCGCGAUACUGACGCUGAGGCUCGAAAGCGUGGGGAGCGAACGGGAUUAGAUACCCCGGUAGUCCACGCCGUAAACGUUGUGCGCUAGGUGUAGGAGGUAUCGACCCCUUCUGUGCCGCAGCUAACGCAUUAAGCGCACCGCCUGGGGAGUACGGUCGCAAGACUGAAACUCAAAGGAAUUGACGGGGGCCCGCACAAGCGGUGGAGCAUGUGGUUUAAUUCGAGGCAACGCGAAGGACCUUACCCAGACUUGACAUCCCAGGACAGCUUAUGAAAGUAAGUCUUCCCUUCGGGGACCUGGAGACAGGUGUUGCAUGGCUGUCGUCAGCUCGUGUCGUGAGAUGUUGGGUUAAGUCCCGCAACGAGCGCAACCCCUAUUCUUAGUUACAUCGGGUAAUGCCGGGCACUCUAAGAAGACCGCCGGUGAUAAANCGGAGGAAGGCGGGGACGACGUCAAGUCAUCAUGGCCCUUACGUCUGGGGCUACACACGUGCUACAAUGGCGGUGACAAUGGGCAGCUAACCCGCGAGGGUGAGCUAAUCUCCAAAAGCCGUCUCAGUUCGGAUUGCACUCUGCAACUCGAGUGCAUGAAGUUGGAAUCGCUAGUAAUCGUGGAUCAGAAUGCCACGGUGAAUACGUUCCCGGGCCUUGUAC